UCAAUUACGUUGUUGGAAAAUAGAUUGAUAGCGAUCAUGUUGUCUUGAUUUCACUAACAUAUAGUGUAGGGAAUCCAUAAUCGUAAGUAUCAUUUCUCACCCUGACAGCAGCUUUUCCAUAUGCAUACAACAAAGUUUAGACUUUAGGGCCAAAUUUCCCCUUAGUGUCCAAGACAAAACAUCCUCAGAGAUUCCCUACUCUCUCCGAGUACCUUUCCAAUCAAUUAUUUACUCCAUAUCCCCUCAUAAACCACUCAACCAUAUUUAACAGAAGGUUUUACUGAAGAAGAAACCCCUUUUAAAGUCCUAAUUUCCAUGUCUCCACUGCAAAUAUGCCUGCUAGCCCUUGCCUUACCUUUGCUUCUCCUCAUAUUGAGGCUCAUCAGAAGGCAACAGGGAUGGAGGGCUAACCUCCCUCCUGGUCCCUUGAAUUUGCCUAUGAUCGGAAGCUUACACCCCCUUGGCAGUGCGCCACACUUGUCGCUCACCGAGCUUGCCCGUCAACAUGGCCCCAUCAUUUACGUCCGCCUCGAUGAGCUCCCAACUUGCGUGUUGCCGUCCGCUGAGAUGGCAAAAGAGGCACUCAAGAUGCAUGAUGCCGCUCUCGCGAGCUGACCGACACUCUGUGCAGCACAGCAACUGUUCUAUGGGUCCACUGACAUUGCAUUCGCGCCCUAUGGCCUUUAUUGGAGGCAGGUGAGAAAGAUAUGCAUCCUGGAGCUAUUCAGCACAAAGAGCGUGCAAUCCUUCAGAUUCAUGAGAGAACAAGAAGCAGCACAUUUGGUGAGCUCAAUACGUUCAUCAUGCAGGGUGGGCGAAGUCGACCUCACCAAACUUCUAGGCCCUUUCGCUAAUGGCUUAAUGUGCCGUGUUGCAUUAGGGAAGAACCACUGCGAAGGUCGGGAGUAUGAGAGGGAGUUCAAGCGGAUGUUAGAAAAGUACCAAGUAUUGUUAGGAGGUUUUGGUUUGGGAGAUUUUUCCCCUAUUUAGAAGGAUGGUUGAAUUUGAUCACGGGAAUGGCAUCGAGGAUGAAGAAGACUUUCGAGGAUUUUGAUCGAUUUUUUGAUCAAGUGAUCGAGGAUCACCGCAGGAAAUCAAAGGUUCCUGGUGGUGAGAACGAUGUGAAGGAUCAUUUUAUCUCAGGGCAUAUUUGGCACCGGUACAGACACAACAUUCAUAACCCUCGACUGGGGCAUGACAGAGCUCAUUAGGAAUCCAAGGGUAGUGAAGAAAGCCCAAGACCACAUUAGGAGCAAAAUUGGACAUAAAGAACAAAUCGAGGAGAGCAAUUUGCAAGAACUAGAUUACUUAAGAGCUGUAGUUAAAGAGAUCUUUCGGGUACACCCAGCUGACCCGUUGUUGCUUCCUCAUUUAUCCAUGGAAGAUGUGAAGAUAGGUGAUUACAAUAUUCCAGCAAAAACUCUUUCAGAUUUCCUGUUGGAUUACUGUAAACUUUUCAUGCUUGGGUAUCUUGGAAUUCAUGUGUGAUAUAAUGUUCAAAUAGCUAUAUGUGCUGUUAUUUAAGUGUACAGUUCCUAGCUCCAUGGAAGACUUCAAACUCCAAAAUGUUAUGGCUUUUGUGUAAUUUUUAGCCUCCCAUAUAUAAAGAGCCCCUUUCAAGAUUUCCUUUA